rnacentral:rRNA from 1 species
GACGAACGCUGGCGGCGUGCUUAACACAUGCAAGUCGAACGGAAAGGCCCUGCUUUUGGGGGGUGCUCGAGUGGCGAACGGGUGAGUAACACGUGAGUAACCUGCCCUUGACUUUGGGAUAACUUCAGGAAACUGGGGCAAAUACCGGAUAGGAGCUCCUGCGGCAUGGUGGGGGUGGGAAAGUUUCGGCGGUUGGGGAUGGACUCGCGGCUUAUCAGCUUGUUGGUGGGGUAGUGGCUUACCAAGGCUUUGACGGGUAGCCGGCCUGAGAGGGUGACCGGCCACAUUGGGACUGAGAUACGGCCCAGACUCCUACGGGAGGCAGCAGUGGGGAAUAUUGCACAAUGGGCGGAAGCCUGAUGCAGCAACGCCGCGUGCGGGAUGACGGCCUUCGGGUUGUAAACCGCUUUCGCCUGUGACGAAGCGUGAGUGACGGUAAUGGGUAAAGAAGCACCGGCUAACUACGUG